rnacentral:rRNA from 1 species
UACGGGGGGGGCAAGCGUUGUUCGGAAUUACUGGGCGUAAAGGGCUCGUAGGCGGCCAACUAAGUCAGACGUGAAAUCCCUCGGCUUAACCGGGGAACUGCGUCUGAUACUGGAUGGCUAGAGGUUGGGAGAGGGAUGCGGAAUUCCAGGUGUAGCGGUGAAAUGCGUAGAUAUCUGGAGGAACACCGGUGGCGAAGGCGGCAUCCUGGACCAAUUCUGACGCUGAGUGAGCGAAAGCCAGGGGAGCAAACGGG